AGCAGCUAGGAGCUUGUUCACAAACAACAGACGCGACUAAGCUGUCUUUCACCGGCUUGUGGGCACAUGAGGAGUCGCUUCGGAUGAAGAGCAGUAUGGAUUUUGGGAGCCUUUGGCUGGAGAGUGACCCAAAGUUGGGCUGUUUUUGUUAGAAGGGAUGGACAUCAUUGUGGCAUGUCAAGGACAUAGUGAACCAGAUUGUCAUGUUGCAGAGAUGUGAUGACCCAUCUGUAUUUCAUGGGCCUUUGGACCUCCUCCAUGUUGCUGACAAGCCUGGUUGUCUUGCAGCCGGUCAGACAAGGACCUGGACUGAGAGAGGGAGCAGGACUUGCUACACCCUCACUAUGCACUAUGCCCCCAAGAUUAACGUCACCAUGGCAUGUCGAGGACAUAGUGAACUACUCUUGUCAUGUUGCGGAGAAGUGAUGACCUAUCUGCAUUACAUGGUAUGUACUGGAAAAUAGCAAUUUUGUAUCCAUUACAAACAAAGUUAUUUAAAAACAUACGGUUAUUAAAUUUUGUAUGGUUGGGGCAGAUAUUUUUGCAUGCAAAUGGAUACAUUUCUAUUUUUUAUGACCUUUGGACCUCCAUCUUGUUGCUGUGAUGAGCGUGAUUGCCUUACAGUUGGGCAAAGAGCUGGGCUGAGAGCAGACUGUCUCUACUAUUGUGGAUGGACAUUAUUGUGGCAUGUCAAGGACAUUGUGAACCAGAUUGUCAUGUUGCAGAGAUGUGAUGACCAAUCUGCAUUUCAUGGACCUUUGGACCUCCUCCAUGUUGCUGGGAUGAGCAUAAUUGCCUUGCAGGGACCAGGACUAAUUACACCCUCACUAACACAUGGGGGCUAAAGAUGUCCAAGUACCUGAACUUCAGGAUGGAUGUCAUUGUGGCAUAUCAAGGACAUAGUGAACCACUUUUGUCUUGUUGCAGAGAAGUGAUGACCCAUCUGCAUUCCAAGAGUUAAAACCAUUGACACAGAGAGGGAGACUGCCCUUUUAAACCUGUGAACACAUGAAGGAGGAUAAGCAACAACCUUGAUAAGAAGCGACUUCCAAGACCACCUUGACAUGCAUUUAUGCUCUCCAGAGUUCCCUGCCGCGCUGCAUUCUUUCUCAUCACAGUGACACAUUUUGGGAAUUAUCCCUAAAUGCUUUCCUGGAGUUCCACUGACAGAGCUGCAACUGGAGCCCUGAACUUCCCAUGCCAAUGGGUCCUUCAGCUCAGAGGAGGAAGAGACACCAAGGAUGGCGGGGGAGGAGGCCUUUGUCCAAGCUGAGGUCUGGAAAACAUUCCACUCCUCGCCCACAUACAGGCACUGGACGACCAAACGAAUGAUGCACUCUGUAACAUCAAGUCCAUCACACAUCAGCAAUGAAGAACCUUGUGCUGUGAACCUUGAUGAAAUAUCAGGUUCUUCUGAAGAGGAUGGAAUGGUGACCUAUGAUGUCGACACACUCAGAUCAGUAAGCGUCCUCUGGAUGUGUAGUGCUUCUUUGAUAACACUACACUCAAAAAAAAGACAAAAGGGAAACCACUUUGGCCAGGAGGAUGCUGCUUCCUGCAUGAAUAUCUAUGGAAUGACUGCCUGGAUUAGGAGGGCAUGGUUCCUUCUUUUUAACAAGGCCAGACGUCCACUCUAAUUGCCCAGCAGGCCAAAUGUACUGUUGCAGUAACUGUGUGCACUUAGAAAAAGUAAGUAGCAUUAAAAAUGGCAGCAUAAACUGGGCAUGCACAGUUUUGUUAAGCCCUUUAAAAGUUAUGUCACAGGAAUAGAAUAUCUAGGGGAUAUUAGAGGUCAGUAAGUGGGUAGAAAUUGGUAGCAGAGACAGAAAAAUGCUUCAUUCAAACGUUCCUCCAUGUAGGCAACCCAAGUAAGAAAACUCUAUACAUUUAUACAGUCCACAUGGUUCCUUGGCUCACAAAAGGCUCUCAGUCUUUACAAGGGCAAAUUUAAAUAACCAAUAUAAAAGAGUACAUGAAAUUAAGCCCUUUGUCUAAUAACCUAAAAAACCUAUCACUUUAAUCAAUUUGAUAAUAAAAAAAGAUAAAACUGUAUACAAAAUGAAAUUUCCUUAAAAAUUGCAGAAGCUGCUGGUGAGGUUGAGGUGGAAAUUUGGUAGGUGUGGCACCAUCAGUGGGGCCCGUCCAGGCUGCAACAGGACGGCCGUGACCAAAAAAUUGGUGCUGCCUGUUGUGCCUUCGGCCAUAAUCAGCUUGGAGGCCAAGGCUAUACCUGUACCUCGCACUGCUGUGUGACCGCGGCGACCACAGAAGGCAGCACACUGCCGAGGCUUCAUCAGCUGCUUCCUGUCUGUGUCUUCAGUCUGUUUCACAGCCUGGGCAGCUGCAACUGUAGACACCUAGGUGGUCUGAGACAAGGCGUAGAGUUCCUGGCGUCAUUUUUGUCCUGACUCGACCUGUGGCAUGGUUAUCCACAGCACUGUCACAACCACAAGACACAAACGUGUUGGAUGAUGUGAUGUUUGAUUUGUGCUGGUCAUUGAAAGGCAACAGUUAGGUUUGACUGUACCUUAGUGGUUGUGUAUCGGUGUUUAGGUGUACACCUGUGGCAAGGCUGACUUCCUGGGCACAGUGAAAGAAACAUCUCAGACGGACUUGUGAUUAUCUGCUUCCUGGUUAGUUUUCAUUUACAUUCAGGGUUGGGGUGAGAGAAGCAUCUGCACUGAUUGUUAGCUGUUUGUCUGUGGGUUAUCCUGAAGGGUCUUGUCAUGCCCAUUGUCCCUGUGCAUGGUGCUUUACAGGACCAGUGAGGCUUGAGGUGUAGAGUCUUGAGUCUAGGUGUAUUGUGACUUCAGAAAACGCCUUGGUGUCCUGACAGCUCAGAAUCCCGAAACCAUAUAAUUGUGUACCUUUUACACAAACCCCUGAGCUCUCGGUGCAUCAUGGUUCUGUGGUUGCUGUAUGCUAAGAUGCAGGACUCUCCCUUAAGCCUCACAGGCCUUGUUGACACCAGGCAUGGUGAUUUGGGUUUGAGAAGACUCCUCAGGACAACCUGUAGACAGAUGGCUGACUGAUUAGUGUGCAUGGUUCUCUUAUUCUGACCCUUGAAUGUGAAUGAGACUACCAGGCUGUGGUUCAUCACAUCUUUGCCAGAGAUGGAUCUUUUCACCAUGCACAGGAACUCAAAUUUUCAUAGGUGGAAUGAUUGUUGUUGGGAUCUUGUGUGAUCCAGUGGGACAGGUCUAGUCAGCUGUUUCAGUCGUGUCACAGGUAAGGCGAUAGGGUCUUUUCUCAGGGGAAGUAGCACAGGGUGUAGUGUUGGCACGCAAGUGCCUGACUGUUAGAGUAGCAUCUUGUGCCCUUUGCAUGCAGCAUCUGUGGGUAGUGUCUGGUUGUCCUGCCGGCUCAGGGGUUUGUUAGAGGUACACCUUUUUAUAUGGUUUCGGGAUUCUGAGCCUGUGGGACAACCAGAUGCCACCUGCACCUGCCGUUUUCAAAGCAGCAAGAUGGUUAGAUAAAGGCUUUACUGGCCUACAGAGCUCCUAGUCUAGGGUUUUAGGAGGAGAGGCAUUUCUUGGUAUGACAUGCUCUCCUCUUGGUUUGUCUGAGGGUCAGUUGAUAUUUGUGUGAAGUUUUCAGCUGCAGUUUCUAGAGGGGAUGAAUACCCUGCUGGGUAUGAACCUUAGGGUAUAUAUUUGUUUCUGUGCUGGUCAUUGAGUGGCCAUAGCUAACACAGUGUUCAAAGGUAGGGUAGUUUGUCAUCAUAACUGGUAGAUCACCCGAGUGAAAGGUUAGUGGCUGUGUAGUCAGGUGUUUAGAUGUAUGCUUUGGACACUCGGGUGAAGGCUGGAGCAGAGCUGUCUACCUGUGGCAAGGCUGACUUCCUGGGCACAGUGAAAGAAACAUCUCAGACGGACUUGUGAUUAUCUGCUUCCUGGUUAGUUUUCAUUUACAUUCAGGGUUGGGGUGAGAGAAGCAUCUGCACUGAUUGUUAGCUGUUUGUCUGUGGGUUAUCCUGAAGGGUCUUGUCAUGCCCAUUGUCCCUGUGCAUGGUGCUUUACAGGACCAGUGAGGCUUGAGGUGUAGAGUCUUGAGUCUAGGUGUAUUGUGACUUCAGAAAACGCCUUGGUGUCCUGACAGCUCAGAAUCCCGAAACCAUAUAAUUGUGUACCUUUUACACAAACCCCUGAGCUCUCGGUGCAUCAUGGUUCUGUGGUUGCUGUAUGCUAAGAUGCAGGACUCUCCCUUAAGCCUCACAGGCCUUGUUGACACCAGGCAUGGUGAUUUGGGUUUGAGAAGACUCCUCAGGACAACCUGUAGACAGAUGGCUGACUGAUUAGUGUGCAUGGUUCUCUUAUUCUGACCCUUGAAUGUGAAUGAGACUACCAGGCUGUGGUUCAUCACAUCUUUGCCAGAGAUGGAUCUUUUCACCAUGCACAGGAACUCAAAUUUUCAUAGGUGGAAUGUGCUUGUUCCCAGCUCCUUUAUGUCUUUCUGAUUGAUUUUGUUAUGUUAUCCAUUAGGACAUUUUUAUUCAGCCUUGUCAGUUAGGUGAUAGGGUGCUUCUGAUAGACAUGGUUUGUGGCAGUGAGCAUAGACUCAGGAUUACUGCUGUCUGAGAUCUCACUGCCUGUAUUGGCAGAGAUGGCAAGUUGUUAGCAUAGCAUCUUGUGCCCUUUGCAUGCAGCAUCUGUGGGUAGUGUCUGAUUGUCCUGCCGGCUCAGGGGUUUGUUAGGUAUGCUUUUAUAAGGUUUCGGGAUUCUGAGCCUGUGGGAUGACCAGAUGCUACCUGCACCUGCCGUUUUCAAAGCAGCAAGAUGGUUAGAUAAAGGCUUUACUGGCCUUGUAAGACAGUGUUGGUGUAGAUUAAAACUUGUUGGACUUAAAUGUUUUGUAAGCAUUAUUGGAUUUGAGUGAGGAAGUUUAGUUGAAACUGCAGCCCCACAAUGCCUUUGUGUUUUGUGUGUCUGUCUGACAAGUCCACUGGUGAUUGUGUGAUAGGCCUGGACUUGGCGAAUCUGAGGCCAGUAACUAUGCGUGAUGGUGAAGACCUCCUAGGGGUCUGUGCUCUGCACUGUUCAGGUUGUGUGAUGGUCUGACAGCAUUCCAUUACAGACAUCACAUUUCCACCAUUUCAUUUCUGUUUAAUUCCAUCUCGGGCUGUUUCCUGGCAUCUGGAAGCCACAUUGUUGCUGAUAUUAACCUCGGGGUGGUGUUGCCUCUAGUGAUCGUUAAAGCGCUCCUCAGCAGCUCGACAUACAGGUGUAGCCCUGACCUCUCUGCUGGAUGUGGCCAGAGGCUCUACAGGCAGCAACAAUGGGGUCUCGGUCCUCCUGUUGCAGCCUGGACUGGACGACACGGGGUGCCACAUCCACAACCUCACCAGCAGCUUCUGCCGAGGAAGCUGGGGCAAUUACUAAAAUGGCCCCAGCUUCCUCAACUGGAGGGCCAAGGUAGCUGGGGGCCAUUACUAAAACGGCCCCCAGCUACCUCGGCCAGGGGGCUAAGGAGGCCAGAGCGCCUUCUACCAAAAUGGCCCCCAGCUACCUUGGCCAGGGGGCCAAGGAGGCCGGAGGGCCUUCUACUAAAAUGGCCCCCAGCUUUCUUGGCUUGAGGGCCAUCUACUUCAUUGGCUAAAGGCUUUAGCCGUUCCCUUUGGAAGAGCUUCUAGGAAGCUCUUCCUGAUCUAGGAAGGGUUGGCCUUAACCUCGCAACCUUCCAUUUUCCCAGGAUUCAAAGAACCGGUGCUAAACUACUGGUUGACAAAAAGAUUGAGUGGUACAGUCAGCACACAGUAUUUUAGCUGCCUUUAAAACACAAUGCUACUUUCAUUAUACAAGGAAUGAGUGAGUUCCACCACAUUGGUUCACUUUCAGUGUGCAUACAGUGAAACGCAGCAUGUCUUGUUUGCUUGGCCUUACAUAGCAGUGUUAUCUCAUUGAAUUAUUUGUUUUUUCACUAUGAAAUCUCACGAGUGCCAGCUCGCCAGGGUGCUUGAUCUCUGCUACUACUAUAUCACUGCUCAGUGUUUGGGGGGGGGGGGGUCUCACACUC